rnacentral:tRNA from 1 species
GGCUAUAGCCCAGUGGCAGAGCACUUGCAUAGCAUGCAUGAGGUGCUGGGUUCGAACCUCAGCACCA